GCCGGGCACGGUGAAGUGUGCCUAUAGUCCCAGCUACUCGGGAGGCUGAGGUGGGAGGAUCGCUUGAGCCCAGGAGUUCUGGGCUGUAGUGUGCUAUGCCAAUCGGGUGUCCACACUAAAUUCGGCAUCAGUAAGGAGCGGGGGACCACCAAGUUACCUAAGGGGGGUUGAACCGGCCCAGGUUGGAAACGGAGCAAGUCAAAGACUCCCAUGCUGAUCAGUAGUGGGAUCAUGCCUGUGAAUAGCCAUGCACUCUAGCCUGGGCAACAUAGCAAGACCCCGUCUCCA
ensembl:misc_RNA Metazoa_SRP Metazoan signal recognition particle RNA